AGAAACUUAGGUUAAUACACUAAACCAAGAGCCUUCAAAGCCCUAAAUAUGAGCC
rnacentral:tRNA from 1 species